UUUAGUCGGAUUUUGGCUGAGAACGGUCUUUCCGCCGUUAGGUGUGCACUGACUGGUCUCAGCUUCCUGGUGAGGAGGUGUGCUUCAUCGCCACUUAGUCACCGUGGUUACUUUGAAAAAAUUAGAGUGUUCAAAGCGGGCUUACGCUUGAAUAUAUUAGCAUGGAAUAACACCAUAGGACUCCUAUCCUAUUUCGUUGGUCUCGGGACGGGAGUAAUGAUUAAGAGGAACAGUUGGGGGCAUUCGUAUUUCAUUGUCAGAGGUGAAAUUCUUGGAUUUAUGAAAGACGAACUUCUGCGAAAGCAUUUGCCAAGGAUGUUUUCAUUGAUCAAGAACGAAAGUUGGGGGCUCGAAGAUGAUUAGAUACCAUCCUAGUCUCAACCAUAAACGAUGCCGACUAGGGAUUGGCGGAUGUUAAUUGAUGACUUCGCCAGCACCUUAUGAGAAAUCAAAGUUUUUGGGUUCCGGGGGGAGUAUGGUCGCAAGGCUGAAACUUAAAGGAAUUGACGGAAGGGCACCACCAGGCGUGGAGCCUGCGGCUUAAUUUGACUCAACACGGGGAAACUUACCAGGUCCAGACAUAGUAAGGAUUGACAGAUUGAAAGCUCUUUCUUGAUUCUAUGGGGGGGGGGGCAUGGCCGUUCUUAAUUGGGGGA
rnacentral:rRNA from 1 species